CGAUUUCUCCGAAGAUCCUGUACAGCCUGUUUUCUUCCCGGAGGAGAAAACACUGCUAUGGAAACCAGAGCGCUGACUGGGUGGGGAUUAUGGCGCGGGGGUACCGACUGAACUCUUCCCUGGCGACCUUUGCCUGGGCCUUUGCAGCUGCUUCUUCAACACAAGCCGCUCUGUCCUCCUGCGGGAGAAAGGGCAGUGCUCACUUGACCACCUGAGACUUAUGUUCCUCACCAGAGGAUUAGAUUCUAGGAACUGUGAUGGACACAGAGAUCUUGUCCAAGAUGAUUUACAGUCAAUCAGACUGUUGUGUGGCUGGAUGCCUGACUGUGCUUCCCAUGACAUCUGACAACAAUGGGGGUCAAGGAAGUCUCCAUUGCCCUAAAUCGAUGGUCACCUUGGAUUCCAGAAGAGCUCACCUCACUGAAUUUACCCUUUAAAUCAUGAAGGUUCAUCCCAUAGAAAAUGGAUUGCCUUUCAAGUUAAGAAG